UGAAGACAGUGGUUUUUAAGUUAG
rnacentral:piRNA from 2 species